UGGAGGGAUAGGAAGCAGAUCCUGUACGUACUCGCUGUGUGGACAGCAUGUAAGCAUUACUGGAGGAAAGCCAGUGAGGAUGUACGACCCAGACUGAGCAAGGCUGUAGGGGAGUGUCACAGACAAUAAUGGAAACCUAUCAGCUAUACUCCUCAUUCCAAGAGCAAAGACAUCCAUGAAAAAUCGAAGAACCCUAAAAGAAUGAAUGACAGAAAUGGUAGAACACAAAUCCCCCUUUCCCCCUCCCACGCACAAGCAGCAACAGAGCAUCAACCUCCCCCUAUUCCAGCAAAAAGCAUCAGCACCCACCACCAACCAAGCACCAGCAAAGCCCCCAAAGAGAGACCAUGAUCUGCAGUCAACAAAACUAUUGCUUGCCAGACAGUUUGGCAUGCCACAUACUCUCUCUCGCAUUAACAAGGGGCAGAGAGAUGUCACCCAUUUCACAGCAAAAGGGGAGACAAACAGUCGCUGAUACAGUCGUACAGUCUGCUGUGUCACUUCUUAUUCUGAGAUUCUUCAACUCGGGAAUCUGCAGCAAACUCUCCCUACCAUUGAAAGAAUGCGAGAGAGAGAAAGAAGUAGCUCAACUACAGAGACCUCCAUCUACAGUAUCUGCUGCCGCUAAAUCCUGAUGUUCCUUCUCCCAUGAUGCCUCAGUUGGUGGCACUGGCCUGGAAUCUGUCAUCUACCGAGCCAUGCAGAUGCACACCCUGGCAUCUUCCAUGCCAUGCCUGGAGAAUGUCAGAAAAUGGCCAGUGGGUCGGUGAGCUCCAAGAACGGGAACUCAUUGCUGUGAAAAAUCCAGUGUUUGAUUAUCAUAGUAGAACAACGAACACAGUAGAACAAGGAAAUAUAAUAGAAUUAAUGAAAAACUAGACCACAAAGAGUAAAAAGCAACCAAUUAUGCAAAAGAAAACUUUGAUCAGUUCACCCCUCAGCCUCCUACAAUCCAUUGAAGAAAGUCCCAGCCUAACCAGCCUCUGUCUAUAACUCAAGAGUUUUAGUCCUUGUAGCAUAAUUCUCUUUUUGCACGUAUUUCACUCUGACCCAAUUUCUGUUAUUUCUGACUUUUCUAAAAUCAUUCAUUCAUUUUGCCCUGUAAUUGCUUCAGAUUAUGAGGUGUGGCGAAACAGAGAGGACAAUAGAGCUCUCUAACUUCCCACAUCAUGCAAGAGGAGCACCCUGAGUUCCAUUCACACUGCUCUACCUAUGCAGUUGUUGUUGUUCGUCCUUUGGAGUCGAAGACGACCACGACUUCUGUCAGGAGGAGGGUUUGUGACUGUGGGUCCGGAGGUGACUGGUGAGGCCAAUCCGGGCCCUGAAAGCUCGCCCACAUGUGGGACACGUGAGGGUAGGUGUUGCAGUGGAAGUGGAGGUAGAUGGAGCCUUGCACGCGGCACUUUUCCUCUGAGCCUCUGUGGUGCGUCUGAUUUCUGCUGCAUACGCUCCUUUAGUGGUCCUGCUCCACCAGGUUGGGCAGUCCAGAGCAAGUGAAUCCCAGCUACUGGGAUUGAUGUUGAGGUCUUUAAGGGACACUUUGAGGCAGUCUUUGAAACAUUUCUUCUGCCCUCCAACUGAGUGCUUGCCCUGGCUCAGCUCUCCAUACAGCAGCUGUUUUGGUACUCGACUGUCAGACAUCCUGAUGACAUGGCCAGUCCAUCUGGCUUGGGCUUUCUGUAGGAGGGUGUAGACGCUGUGGGUGCUAGCCCGCUCCAGGACUUCCGUGUCUGGGACUUUGUCCUGCCAUCGUACGUGGAGAAGUCUGCAGAGGCAGCUCAAGUGGAAGUGGUUGAGCUGUUUAGCGUGCCUGCUGUAGUCAGUCCAGGAGACUCCGUGAGAAUGUAUGGGAGCAGAGAGGACUCAGCCUUACCACCAAGCUGAAGGUCUACCGAGCAGUGGUUCACAUCACCCUCCUCUAUGCCAGCGAGACCUGGA